GGGGAUAUAGCUCAGUUGGUAGAGUGCUUGCCUUGCAUGCAUAAGGCCCUGGGUUCAAUCCCCAACACCACCA
rnacentral:tRNA from 1 species